CAGUAGCCGCGGUAAUACGUAGGGUGCGAGCGUUAAUCGGAAUUACUGGGCGUAAAGCGUGCGCAGGCGGUUCGUUAAGACAGAUGUGAAAUCCCCGGGCUUAACCUGUGAACUGCAUUUGUGACUGGCGAGCUAGAGUAUGGCAGAGGGGGGUAGAAUUCCACGUGUAGCAGUGAAAUGCGUAGAGAUGUGGAGGAAUACCGAUGGCGAAGGCAGCCCCCUGGGCCAAUACUGACGCUCAUGCACGAAAGCGUGGGGAGCAAACAGGAUUAGAUACCCGUGUAGUCCCUGUCUCUUAUAC
rnacentral:rRNA from 1 species